UCCAGUCUAUCAGACAGUAUUAUAUUAUAAUGUUCCAGGUAUCCAGUCUAUCAGACAGUAUUAUAAUGUUCCAGGUAUCCAGUCUAUCAGACAGUAUUAUAUUAUAAUGUUCCAGGUAUCCAGUCUAUCAGGCAGUAUUAUAUUAUAAUGUUCCAGGUAUCCAGUCUAUCAGACAGUAUUAUAAUGUUCCAGGUAUCCAGUCUAUCAGACAGUAUUAUGAUGUUCCAGGUAUCCAGUCUAUCAGUCAGUAUUAUAUUAUAAUGUUCCAGGUAUCCAGUCUAUCAGACAGUAUUAUAAUGUUCCAGGUAUCCAGUCUAUCAGACAGUAUUAUAAUGUUCCAGGUAUCCAGUCUAUCAGUCAGUAUUAUAUUAUAAUGUUCCAGGUAUCCAGUCUAUCAGUCAGUAUUAUAUUAUAAUGUUCCAGGUAUCCAGUCUAUCAGACAGUAUUAUAAUGUUCCAGGUAUCCAGUCUAUCAGACAGUAUUAUAAUGUUCCAGGUAUCCAGUCUAUCAGACAGUAUUAUAUUAUAAUGUUCCAGGUAUCCAGUCUAUCAGUCAGUAUUAUAUUAUAAUG